rnacentral:rRNA from 1 species
UUAGUAGCGGCGAGUGAAGCGGCAAAAGCUCAAAUUUGAAAUCUGGCUCUUUCAGAGUCCGAGUUGUAAUUUGAAGAAGGUAUCUUUGGGUCUGGCUCUUGUCUAUGUUUCUUGGAACAGAACGUCACAGAGGGUGAGAAUCCCGUGCGAUGAGAUGAUCCAGGCCUAUGUAAAGUUCCUUCGAAGAGUCGAGUUGUUUGGGAAUGCAGCUCUAAGUGGGUGGUAAAUUCCAUCUAAAGCUAAAUAUUGGCGAGAGACCGAUAGCGAACAAGUACAGUGAUGGAAAGAUGAAAAGAACUUUGAAAAGAGAGUGAAAAAGUACGUGAAAUUGUUGAAAGGGAAGGGCUUGAGAUCAGACUUGGUAUUUUGUAUGUUACUUCUUCGGGGGUGGCCUCUACAGUUUAUCGGGCCAGCAUCAGUUUGGGCGGUAGGAGAAUUGCGUUGGAAUGUGGCACGGCUUCGGUUGUGUGUUAUAGCCUUCGUCGAUACUGCCAGCCUAGACUGAGGACUGCGGUUUAUACCUAGGAUGUUGGCAUAAUGAUCUUAAGUCGCCCGUCUUGAA